UACGGAGGGUCCGAGCGUUAAUCGGAAUUACUGGGCGUAAAGCGCGCGUAGGUGGCUAAGUCAGUCAGAUGUGAAAGCCCCGGGCUCAACCUGGGAACUGCACCUGAUACUGCUUGGCUAGAGUACAAUAGAGGGGAGUGGAAUUUCCGGUGUAGCGGUGAAAUGCGUAGAGAUCGGAAGGAACACCAGUGGCGAAGGCGACUCCCUGGAUUGAUACUGACACUGAGGUGCGAAAGCGUGGGGAGCAAACAGGAUUAGAUAC
rnacentral:rRNA from 1 species